rnacentral:rRNA from 1 species
AUUGAACGCUUGCGGCAUGCCUUACACAUGCAAAUCGAACGGUAACGGGCCUUCGGGUGCCGACGAGUGGCGAACGGGUGAGUAAUACAUCGGAACGUGCCCGAUCGUGGGGGAUAACGAGGCGAAAGCUUUGCUAAUACCGCAUACGAUCUACGGAUGAAAGCAGGGGACCUCAAGGCCUUGCGCGGACGGAGCGGCCGAUGGCAGAUUAGGUAGUUGGUGGGAUAAAAGCUUACCAAGCCGACGAUCUGUAGCUGGUCUGAGAGGAUGAUCAGCCACACUGGGACUGAGACACGGCCCAGACUCCUACGGGAGGCAGCAGUGGGGAAUUUUGGACAAUGGGCGAAAGCCUGAUCCAGCCAUGCCGCGUGCAGGAUGAAGGCCUUCGGGUUGUAAACUGAUUUUGUACGGAACGAAAAGCCUUCUUUUAAUACAGGAGGGUCAUGACGGUACCGUAAGAAUAAGCACCGGCUAACUACGUG